rnacentral:lncRNA from 1 species
GGAACAAAAUGCAUAUCUGAGGGAACCGAGAUGGUAUAUACCCAGAUUGGAUGAAGCCUGCACCCAGUUCUCAGUAUCCUGAUGAUGCAGGCAUCUUCACUCUGUAUGAUCAUCCAGUGGUUGUCCUGUCUUCUGCCAAAGAGGGACUCAUCUAGGAAUGCCAUUUUUCACUGAAACCCAGAAAAUUUUCAGUGGUUUUCAACUGUAUUUCUGAAAACUCUGUUAUGAUUGUGGCGGUGAUUGCAGAAAUCAGCUUACACCAGACUGAUGCCAUUAAACUAUCCAUGGCCAUUGCACCAUAUCAUUGCCUGGUUUGGAUCCUGUUCUAUAGACAUUUCAUGAAGUGGUGUAGAAGGUACAGGAUUGUAUCUGUACCCUUUAUCCAAGUUCCUGUGAAACCACAGUUACUCCAGAUUCACACCAUUCACUGGAUCCAUUCCCUGGAGUAAGAAGAUAUCAGAGGGGGAAGAGAGAGGAGCAAAGGAGAUGUUCAGAUGCUGCACAGAGUGGGGAGGCUGAAGAACUGCAAUGAGCCUGAUUGCUUUUCUGUGGAAUUUACCUCCUCCAUUUUUGUCAAACUUCCAGUACAGUUUUUUUACCCAGAUUCCUACUUGGAAGACUAUAGUUUGCACAAAUAAUGGCAAAGAAUUUCAUAGCAAAAAGAGAUUGUUUUGAUAUAAAGGAAUACAGAGGGGGUAGCUGUGGAUUCAAAUUAGAGGUUACCAUGGAAAGAAUAGAAUGCCUUCCUUGCAUUUUUCUCCUUUCUAGAUAGGUGACAUAUAGUUAGA